CCUGGGCAGUCACGCUCAAUAGUAUCCUCCAGCUUCGAUAAGUAUAUAAAUUAUAGUUUUCUGAAAAAAAUUGAGACCGCUUACGCAGCGUUCGAACCACGAAAGCAGCGUGCGGGGAUCACGGCAAAUGGUUGCGAGUUAAACGACAAGUUGCAGCCUGGACUAGCUCGGACUCCCACGCUCUUCGCCAUGAUUUCACACCGGAGGAAAGUGCAGAUGGUUGUGGGAGACAGGACUCUGGGGGAGGGGAUGAUUCCUUGAUGGAGAAGAGCGAGUCUCUUCCAUCACAAACUUCAAUGAAUAACUAUGUACAUGAAGGGUGUUUUUCCCAAUGCUAUCUAAGUCCGAAUGCUUUCAUGGCUUUGAACUUUGAAAGGGUCCGGCCGUCCCAUUUCCUGUUUAGACUUUUUCCAUGGCUUGAAUGUUGGUGUUUCUUGUGGCAUUUCCAUCAAAAUAAAUGAGUUUGGGGCAUGAAAUGUUCGAGCUUUUGCUUGAGUGAGGCAGUCUUUUUCCAUUUUUUUUCAAUAAAAUAAAGUGGAUAAAUCCAAACGAUCUUGUAAUUUGUGUUUGUCUUGAAACGGAGAUCUAAGAAUAGUAUUUUAUUUUUAUCCUA